GGUCGCCCCGAUACUACAGCGUGGUUCCCUCGCGCGUGCAGUUCGUCGGUGGUUUCUCCACCUUGAUGCCGAUCCAGGGCGGGUGCAGGUGGUUCCCCUCUCUCUGUACUCCCUCUUCCUCGUUCAAUGGCGGAUCCUAGGUUCUCCCCACUGACGAACAGGAAAAAAAGUGAGCACAGCGAGGAUGGUUUUGCCGUUCACUUUGUUUUUGUUUUUGCGGCUGAAAUCUUCAGUGCACGGCUAGGGAUGAAUUCGGGGCUCCUCGGAUGUGCUCCGGCGGCGAAGGUGGAAGUACCUCCCCUCUCUGCUGCUCCGUUGCCUGAUUCCCUCCUCUGCAGUUCUGUAAACGCUUGUCGUGCCGCUCGGCGACAGAAGUUUUGCAUCGCGGGCUGUGGGUAUGCAGUCCACUCGCAUAGAGCUCAUGGAGUCCAGAGCUCACUAGUUUCAGUUGAGUUUCACUGUACCAUUGUACCUGAUGUAUGUGUAUGUGAUUCACUUUUAAAAAAACUUUGACAAGUGCAGCUCGCUAGUGUUGUUUCGCAGGUCACUUUGGUGUGCAUACAUUCGACAUGUGCAUACUUUUUUUGGCAUUCACUUUGGCGUUCACCUGGAGGUCAUCAGCUUUGUGCUAUCACCCGGAGGUCAUCAGCGUUGCGCUGUUAUACUGCCCAAAAAUGAUUUUGUGCAUUUUUUUCCUUUUUGAUUUGGGCAAAGUGUUAACUACAGUGUGUUGUGAAGUUCAGUGUGCUAGGAGUUUGACGUUUGUGGCGUUGACUAUGCAGUACACUUCAUUUGGAACAAAUGUAUCUAAUUUUUUUAUGCUUUUCAUGGAAACAAACAAAGAAAAUAAUGAGGUUCAUUUUUGGUGGUGUGG
rnacentral:lncRNA from 1 species